ACUCCUACGGGAGGCAGCAGUGGGGAAUAUUGCACAAUGGGGGAAACCCUGAUGCAGCCAUGCCGCGUGUGUGAAGAAGGCCUUCGGGUUGUAAAGCACUUUCAGUAGGGAGGAAGGUAGUGUAGUUAACACCUGCAUUAUUUGACGUUACCUACAGAAGAAGCACCGGCUAACUCCGUGCCAGCAGCCGCGGUAAUACGGAGGGUGCGAGCGUUAAUCGGAAUUACUGGGCGUAAAGCGCAUGCAGGCGGCCUGUUAAGUCAGAUGUGAAAGCCCGGGGCUUAACCUCGGAAUUGCAUUUGAAACUGGCAGACUAGAGUACUGUAGAGGGGGGUAGAAUUUCAGGUGUAGCGGUGAAAUGCGUAGAGAUCUGAAGGAAUACCGGUGGCGAAGGCGGCCCCCUGGACAGAUACUGACACUCAGAUGCGAAAGCGUGGGGAGCAAACAGGAUUAGAUACCCUGGUAGGAUACCG
rnacentral:rRNA from 1 species